AAGUCGUAACAAGGUUUCCGUAGGUGAACCUGCGGAAGGAUCAUUAAAGAAUUGAAUGGGGAUACAAAUCGAGACUCUCUAGUUUCGUUGUAUUUUCCUUUUAUAUUCAUGCACGCACUACUAUGGUAGUGUUUCUAUUUAGAAUCAUUUUUGUAUAUCAUUUAGUUUUUAUUAUGUAUUCUUGAUUCGGGUUUUCGAAACUUUGAAGAUAGAAUUAAAAAUAACAAAUAACAACUUUCAGCAACGGAUCUCUUGGCUCUC
rnacentral:misc_RNA from 1 species